rnacentral:lncRNA from 1 species
GCAAUUCUGAAGGAGGACCAGCAGUCUCAAUUAAUCUGGACCCCCGAGAUCUCUUAAACACUGGACCACCAAACAGGCAUACACCCGCUGAUAUGAGGCAGCCAGCACACAUACAGUAGAGGGCUUCUGGGUCUGUAUUCAUUCAGAGACUAAUGAGCCAGUGUGGUGGGGAUUCCAAUCCAGUGCCUACCAGACAUUGUGAUCAGCAAAAGAAAGUUAAGAGCAAUGUAGAAUGAAGAUGGCCCUUGUCACUGAGUCCUGAUGUCUGAAGACACAUGCAAUGAUGCAAAGGGGCUUAGAGAGUCAUCCUGGAGCUCUGGAAGUGGAACAAGACACUAUCUCAAUUCUAAUUAUAUGCUCCAUCAUCCAUGUGGGUGACUCUUUCAUGAUUCUGUUGGAAAUCUAACAGAGGAAGCAUGUCAUUAAUAAGAGAAUGAAUCCUUCAGAACAGCUUUGUUCACACUUACAGAGGCGUGGACUUGUUAUGGCUGACUACUAAGUUCUUUGCAUCCAUCAAGGAAGGAGUCAGUUUCUUUGCUGUUUGGCAUACCAUAUAGAGAAAGCACUGCUUAUGCUUGACCUUGCCAAAGUUAGUGGCUCCAAGACUUUCUAUCACUUUGCCCAGGUCUGACUGUGAACCUUGAUGGGGAAAAUAAGGAAGCAAGUGAUAUACAAUUAUUCAUAUUAACAUUUGGGAAAAGCUAUUCAAUGGCGUUAAAGGGAAUAUGAACUUAGAAUCAAGUCUUG